CAAGCUACUCCUUCACGAGAUCCACUCCCCCGCCACCCGCCACGAGCUACUCCUCCACGAGAUCCACUCCCCCCACCACCUGCCACGAGCUCCUCCUCCAUGAGAAGAUAGAUCCAGUCCCUGGCCACGAAUCCAAUCCACGAGAUCCAGUCCGCCACUCUAGUACUGUGAUGGCGAGGUAAUUGUUGGCAACUUCUAUCAUGUUGUUACCUUUGCAGCCAUUUUCUUGAUCUGCAGACCUGCAGAGGUGAAAGAGUUGGUUUGUUCCUAACAAUUCUAAUGAUUGAUAUAAAGCAAAUCUGAGCUUUCAGUGGUCUUCUCAUGAAUCUUUUUUCCAGGGUUAAUUUUAUAAAUCCCCCUAUGGGGUUUUUUGCAGCCAUUUUCUUGAUCUGCAGACCUGCAGAGGUGAAAGAGUUGGUUUGUUCCUAACAAUUCCAAUGAUUGAUAUAAAGCAAAUCUGAGCUUUUAGUGGUCUUCUCAUGAAUCUUUUUUCCAGGGUUAAUUUUAUAAAUCCCCCUAUAGGGUUUUUGGCAGCCAUUUUCUUGAUCUGCAGACCUGUAGAGGUGAAAGAGUUGGUUUGUUCCUAACAAUUCUAAUGAUUGAUAUAAAGCAAAUCUUUUUUUUCUUCAGGGGCAUUUUUGACAUUUUAAUGCUGAUGACUAUAGUAGAUUUACACUAGUUUUUUUUCCCAGUACAAAACUGAAGUAUUUAUUUGGGUAGAGAACAAAUUGUCUUUUUUGCAUUGAUAAUCUAUUUUCAAGACACAAAUUUCUAGGUGAUAUAAUGGCAAGAAAGAGUUUUUAUGUUGUAAAGAGAGGUCGACGUUGUGGCAUUUUUAAUAAUUAGGAGGAAUGCAAAUCUCAAGUUGAUAGAUUCCCAAAAGCCUCCUACAAAGGGUAUGCAACGUAUGAAAAGGCUUUGAGUGAAUGAGAGAAGCAUUUAAGCGAGCGUGAUUCAGCAUCCAGCUCAAGCCAUGUGCAGCCAUAUGUUUGUGUUCAAGAACAAAUGUUUCGAGAGGGGCAUAAUCUUCUUGAGGACAAGGGGAAACAUGGGGAAACUGCUAUUUCCUCCAUCUAUGUUUUUCUAUUAGGUUCAGUGUUUACAAUUUUAAUAUUUCUAGUAUGUAUUGUUGCAGUGUUUGUUGGUUUCUAUUGGGGGAAAUAUGUGAUGUGAUUCGUGUAUGAUUCUUCAAUGUACCUUAGUUUUGUACUUAGUUUUGUA